UACGAAGGGGGCUAGCGUUGCUCGGAAUCACUGGGCGUAAAGGGUGCGUAGGCGGGUCUUUAAGUCAGGGGUGAAAUCCUGGAGCUCAACUCCAGAACUGCCUUUGAUACUGAAGAUCUUGAGUUCGGGAGAGGUGAGUGGAACUGCGAGUGUAGAGGUGAAAUUCGUAGAUAUUCGCAAGAACACCAGUGGCGAAGGCGGCUCACUGGCCCGGAUACUGACGCUGAGGCACGAAAGCGUGGGGAGGCAAACAGG
rnacentral:rRNA from 1 species